GUUUGCAUUUAGCUCAGUCAGUAGAGCAUUAGAUGCUUAAUCUCAGGGCUGUAGGUUCAAGCCCCACAUUGGACA